GACGAACCUUGCGAACGUUGUUCGGAAUCACUGGGCUUAAAGGGCGCGUAGGCGGACCACCAAGUCCGGGGUGAAAUCCUCCGGCUUAACCGGAGAAUUGCCUGGGAUACUGGUGGUCUUGAGGGAGGUAGGGGCACGCGGAACUUCCGGUGGAGCGGUGAAAUGCGUUGAUAUCGGAAGGAACGCCGGUGGCGAAAGCGGCGUGCUGGCCCUCUUCUGACGCUGAGGCGCGAAAGCCAGGGGAGCGAACGGG
rnacentral:rRNA from 1 species